rnacentral:rRNA from 1 species
AUUGAACGCUGGCGGCAUGCCUUACACAUGCAAGUCGAACGGUAACGCGGGGCAACCUGGCGACGAUUGGCGAACGGGUGAGUAAUGUAUCGGAACGUGCCCAGUUGUGGGGGAUAACUGCUCGAAAGAGCAGCUAAUACCGCAUACGACCUGAGGGUGAAAGCGGGGGAUCGCAAGACCUCGCGCAAUUGGAGCGGCCGAUAUCAGAUUAGGUAGUUGGUGAGGUAAAGGCUCACCAAGCCGACGAUCUGUAGCUGGUCUGAGAGGACGACCAGCCACACUGGGACUGAGACACGGCCCAGACUCCUACGGGAGGCAGCAGUGGGGAAUUUUGGACAAUGGACGCAAAUCUGAUCCAGCCAUGCCGCGUGCGGGAAGAAGGCCUUCGGGUUGUAAACCGCUUUUGUCAGGGAAGAAACGCUCUGGGUUAAUACCUCGGGGUAAUGACGGUACCUGAAGAAUAAGCACCGGCUAACUACGUGCCAGCCGCCGCGGUAAGAC